CCCUGAAAGCUCCGCGGGUUCCCACCCCAUCUCCUGUCACCUGGGCGCUGGGGCGAGGGCUUCCCAGCCCCAAGGAGCUUUUACAAGGAACACCAAACUAGAGGCCAAGGCUACAGGAAGGCCAAGUGCACUAGGAGGUAAAACAGAGCAGGCGCAAAAUGAGCUGGAAUUGGUUCCUACAUUUAAUAUAACCAGACUGUCCUUUGAGGAGAAGUUAAUCUAGAUGUUAAACGUUCUGAUGUUGUUAAUGGACAGGCUUGCGUUCCCCCUAAAAUUCACGUGUUGAAGCCAAACCCCCAUUGAGACUGUAUUUGGAGACAAAACCUAUCAGAAGGGUCUUAGUGUAAGAGAACACAUGGAACCUGCAGUGCCUGUGUUGGACAUCUCAGCAUGUGUAUCCAAACUCUCUUCCCAGGCCACCAAACAGCUGAUUCUUGGCCAGCACUCUGGCCAGCUGAUAACGCAGCCUGCUCUAGGAAUUACCGCUCUGAGCAAGUGGACUUGGUUCAUCUGCUCAGAAAAUUCCCAAGUCUUGAGUACAUACACAUGGUUGUUGUAGGCAGAAUAAUGCCUAUGAAUAUGUUUAUCAUAGAGCAAAAGAGAGUUAACAUUGCAGAUGGAAUUAAGGCUACUAAUGAGUAGAUUUUAAGAUAGAAAAAUUAUCCCCGAUUAUCUGGGUGAGCCCAGUGUAUGUAAUCGCAAGGGUCCUUUUAAGAGGGGAGACAGGAAGCAGAAGAGUCAGUGUCAUAUUGAUGUGAAGUGAAAACGACUCUCCAGCCAUCACUGACUUGGAAGAUGGAAAGGAACCACAAGCCAAGAAGUACAGGCAGCCUCUAGAAGCUAGAAAACGCACGGAGUGGGCUCACCUAGAACCUCCAGAAGGAAUGCAGCCCGGCCAACAAAACCAUUUUGGACUUCAGACCUCCAAAA